UUUUUUUUAGGGCACUCAGCUAAGUUUGGCAGCUACUCAUUAAUGAAUCUGGAGAGCAACACCAUUAUGGACAUUCAACUUGUUCAGAGCAAUGAAGUAGGCGGCAGUUACCACAUGGAGAAGGAGUGACUCAAAAGAUGCCUAGAUCAUCUGGAGGCAAACGGAUUUAAGGCGGAUUACAUUGUUACGGACCGCCAUCCACAGAUCCAGAAAUAUCAGAGGGAACGGAACAUCACGCAGUUCUAUGACGUCUGGCACUUUGAGAAAGGUUUGUCUAAGAAACUGGAGAAAGCAUCGCACAAAGAAGACAUUCUUAAGAAAUGGCUGCAGAGCAUCAAGAACCAUGUGUACUGGUGCGCUACGUCAUAAACCACUGGACCGGAAAAAGUGACGAAGUGGACAUCGCUGCUAAAUCACUUGCAAAAUAUUCAUGAUCAUGAAGACCCCCUUUUCCCCAAAUGUCUGCAUCCUGAACGAGCCUCGAGGGACCCCAACAAAUGGCUACAACCUGGUAUGUGCCAAAUUAACAUUACUCAGAAAAUCCACAGUGCUAAAAUUAUGCCACUGAUAUUUCACCAUGUGUUAUUUUUUCACUCAAGGGUCAGUUGCACUUCACAACGCUGAGAAACUACUGCUUAACAAACAAGUCCUGAA